UGGGAAUUUUGGACAAUGGGCGCAAGCCUGAUCCAGCCAUGCCGCGUGCGGGAAGAAGGCCUUCGGGUUGUAAACCGCUUUUGUCAGGGAAGAAAUCUUCUGAGUUAAUACCUCGGGAGGAUGACGGUACCUGAAGAAUAAGCACCGGCUAACUACGUGCCAGCAGCCGCGGUAAUACGUAGGGUGCAAGCGUUAAUCGGAAUUACUGGGCGUAAAGCGUGCGCAGGCGGUUUUGUAAGACAGAGGUGAAAUCCCCGGGCUCAACCUGGGAACUGCCUUUGUGACUGCAAGGCUUGAGUGCGGCAGAGGGGGGAUGGAAUUCCGCGUGUAGCAGUGAAAUGCGUAGAUAUGCGGAGGAAACACCGAUGGCGAAGGCAAUCCCCUGGGCCUGCACUGACGCUCAUGCACGAAAGCGUGGGGAGCAAACAGGAUUAGAUAGCCCUGGUAGUCCACGCCCUAAACGAUGUCAACUGGUUGUUGGGAAGGUUCCUUCUCAGUAACGUAGCUAACGCGUGAAGUUGACCGCCUGGGGAGUACGGCCACAAGGUU
rnacentral:rRNA from 1 species